rnacentral:rRNA from 1 species
GACGAACGCUGGCGGCGUGCCUAAUACAUGCAAGUAGAACGCACAGUUUAUACCAUAGCUUGCUACACCAUAAACUGUGAGUUGCGAACGGGUGAGUAACGCGUAGGUAACCUGCCUGGUAGCGGGGGAUAACUAUUGGAAACGAUAGCUAAUACCGCAUAAUAUUAAUUAUUGCAUGAUAAUUGAUUGAAAGAUGCAAUUGCAUCACUACCAGAUGGACCUGCGUUGUAUUAGCUAGUAGGUGAGGUAACGGCUCACCUAGGCGACGAUACAUAGCCGACCUGAGAGGGUGAUCGGCCACACUGGGACUGAGACACGGCCCAGACUCCUACGGGAGGCAGCAGUAGGGAAUCUUCGGCAAUGGACGAAAGUCUGACCGAGCAACGCCGCGUGAGUGAAGAAGGUUUUCGGAUCGUAAAGCUCUGUUGUAAGAGAAGAACGGGUGUGAGAGUGGAAAGUUCACACUGUGACGGUAUCUUACCAGAAAGGGACGGCUAACUACGUG